UGAGGAAGAAAGGAUUUAUUCGGUACAGGAUGGGCCCGCAUCUGAUUAGCUAGUUGGUGAGAUAACAGCCCACCAAGGCGACGAUCAGUAGCCGACCUGAGAGGGUGAUCGGCCACAUUGGGACUGAGACACGGCCCAAACUCCUACGGGAGGCAGCAGUGGGGAAUAUUGCACAAUGGGGGAAACCCUGAUGCAGCAACGCCGCGUGAAGGAAGAAGGUUUUCGGAUCGUAAACUUCUAUCAAUAGGGAAGAAAUCAAUGACGGUACCUAAAUAAGAAGCCCCGGCUAACUACGUGCCAGCAGCCGCGGUAAUACGUAGGGGGCAAGCGUUAUCCGGAAUUACUGGGUGUAAAGGGAGCGUAGGCGGCAUGGUAAGCCAGAUGUGAAAGCCUUGGGCUUAACCCGAGGAUUGCAUUUGGAACUAUCAAGCUAGAGUACAGGAGAGGAAAGCGGAAUUCCUAGUGUAGCGGUGAAAUGCGUAGAUAUUAGGAAGAACACCAGUGGCGAAGGCGGCUUUCUGGACUGAAACUGACGCUGAGGCUCGAAAGCGUGGGGAGCGAACAGGAUUAGAUACCCUGGUAGUCCACGCCGUAAACGAUGAGUGCUAGGUGUUGGGGAGGAAUCCUCGGUGCCGCAGUUAACACAAUAAGCACUCCACCUGGGGAGUACGACCGCAAGGUUGAAACUCAAAGGAAUUGACGGGGGCCCGCACAAGCGGUGGAGCAUGUGGUUUAAUUCGAAGCAACGCGAAGAACCUUACCAAGGCUUGACAUCCCGAUGAC
rnacentral:rRNA from 1 species